rnacentral:rRNA from 1 species
AUUGAACGCUGGCGGCAGGCCUAACACAUGCAAGUCGAGCGGAUGAAGGGAGCUUGCUCCUGGAUUCAGCGGCGGACGGGUGAGUAAUGCCUAGGAAUCUGCCUGGUAGUGGGGGAUAACGUCCGGAAACGGGCGCUAAUACCGCAUACGUCCUGAGGGAGAAAGUGGGGGAUCUUCGGACCUCACGCUAUCAGAUGAGCCUAGGUCGGAUUAGCUAGUUGGUGGGGUAAAGGCCUACCAAGGCGACGAUCCGUAACUGGUCUGAGAGGAUGAUCAGUCACACUGGAACAGAGACACGGUCCAGACUCCUACGGGAGGCAGCAGUGGGGAAUAUUGGACUAUGGGCGAAAGCCUGAUCCAGCCAUGCCGCGUGUGUGAGGAAGGUCUUCGGAUUGUAAAGCACUUUAAGUUGGGAGGAAGGGCAGUAAGUUAAUACCUUGCUGUUUUGACGUUACCAACAGAAUAAGCACCGGCUAACUUCGUG